UUUUUGUAUUCUAGAUGGAUGCCUUGGAUGUUAACCUUGGUGUCCUGCUUUCACAGGACUGUGUAGGUGAGAAGCACCCAAUCCUGCAUCAAAAUAGAAAGCCUUCCCCAGGAAGAGAGACUAAUUCUUACUGAGGAAAGAGGCAUUGGCAUGUAAAUGGACCAUAGAUUCCCUCAGAUACAAGCUACUGAAACUGAGCUAAACUUUUCCUGCUCCUGAAGUUCUCAGAUAAGGGAUUGCAACUUCAGCAUUCUGAGUUUUUGUCAUGCUGAAACCAUCUCCUUUGCCCUAAGAGAUACUGUUUCUAUCAUCCUGCCAUUCCAGGAACAUCUCAGACAUAUGGAUCAAGAGAUGUGACCUGCAGCCACCUCUGAAGCCCCUGGCUAGAAGCAAAAGAGGGCACCGGCCUGGACUGGUGCAGAGAUGCUGGAUCUCAUCGAGGUCUGGGGCGAGGAGACCAACCUCC